rnacentral:rRNA from 1 species
UACGUAGGGUGCGAGCGUUGUCCGGAAUUAUUGGGCGUAAAGAGCUUGUAGGCGGUUUGUCGCGUCUGCCGUGAAAAUUCGAGGCUCAACCUCGAACUUGCGGUGGGUACGGGCAGACUAGAGUGUGGUAGGGGAGACUGGAAUUCCUGGUGUAGCGGUGAAAUGCGUAGAGAUCGGGAGGAACACCCGUGGCGAAGGCGGGUCUCUGGGCCAUAACUGACGCUGAGGAGCGAAGCGUGGG